CAUUAUUGAAUUUUGAAAAGAGGUUGUAGCUGAUCAUAACAGAUAUGUGCACACCUCGUUCCAAAUAUUACACCAUGUGCACUUUUGUAGGCCAAGAAAUUGGUCUAUGUUCUUAAUACACUCCAAAAGUAUAGAAUGUCAUUGUAAAUAAGCUUUUGCUUAAAUUAAUACAACUUUCAACAACGGAUCUCUUGGCUCUCGCAUCGAUGAAGAACGCAGCGAAAUGCGAUAAGUAAUGUGAAUUGCAGAAUUCAGUGAAUCAUCGAAUCUUUGAACGCACCUUGCGCUCCUUGGUAUUCCGAGGAGCAUGCCUGUUUGAGUGUCAUUAAAUUAUCAAUCCUCUUCAAGUUGAGAGGCUUUGGACUUUGGAGUUGCUGGCUUGAAAAAAGUUUGCUUCUCUUAAAUGUAUUAGCUUGUAUCUUUUGCAGAUGAGCUUUAGUUUGAUAAAAAUAUCUACUAUUUAGCUGUGAAGCAAAUAUGAGCUUCCAAUUGUUCUUUGGACACUUUGACUUUUUGACCUCAAAUCAGGUAGGACUACCCGCUGAACUUAAGCAUAUCAAUA
rnacentral:rRNA from 1 species